UACGUAGGGUGCAAGCGUUGUUCGGAAUCAUUGGGCGUAAAGCGCGUGUAGGCGGUUUGUUAAGUCGGGUGUGAAAUCCCUUGGCUCAACCAAGGAAGUGCAUCCGAAACUAACUGGCUAGAAGACGGAAGAGGAAGGUGGAAUUCCAAGUGUAGAGGUGAAAUUCGUAGAUAUUUGGAGGAAUACCUGUGGCGAAGGCGGCCUUCUGGACCGAUCUUGACGCUGAGACGCGAAAGCGUGGGGAGCAAACAGG
rnacentral:rRNA from 1 species